GGAAGACAGGAUUGCUACAUCUUUAAGGCAUUUCAACAAUUAGAGAUUUUCUCAUUCCUAUUUGAAAAGGUUCAGCGGCCAAGGUUCUACACAACUACAAAAACUCCCGGAACUCCAAGAAUGGUCCUUCUUAAAACCAUUUUGAGAAGGGGAAACUCUAAUUUCAUUGUGAAGCAUGUUCAAGAGUCCCAGGACAACUCUAGAAAAGGCCUGGUUUUGAGUCACCACCAACUGAGCCGAUGGCAACUGAGACGAUGCAGGUGAGGAGAUGACUAUCCUGAAUCAGUGCCUGGAUGCAGUAACUGACUGGAUGAAGGUGAACAAGCAGAGACUCAAUGCAGAGGCUGGCCUACAGUGAACUACAAGGACCUCCAGGGUAUACCAACCACAGCUUUGAAAAUCACCGACUUUUACCUGUGGAUCUUUACCCAUGAGGAUCUGGCUGUGUGGUGCCUCCUUGAAAAGCUUGAAUUACAA